GACGAACGCUGGCGGCGUGCUUAACACAUGCAAGUCGAACGGAAAGGCCCUUCGGGGUACUUGAGUGGCGAACGGGUGAGUAACACGUGGGUGAUCUGCCCUGCACUUCGGGAUAAGCCUGGGAAACUGGGUCUAAUACCGGAUAUGACCUCAGGAUGCAUGUCUUGUGGUGGAAAGCUUUUGCGGUGUGGGAUGGGCCCGCGGCCUAUCAGCUUGUUGGUGGGGUUAAGGCCUACCAAGGCGACGACGGGUAGCCGGCCUGAGAGGGUGACCGGCCACACUGGGACUGAGAUACGGCCCAGACUCCUACGGGAGGCAGCAGUGGGGAAUAUUGCACAAUGGGCGCAAGCCUGAUGCAGCGACGCCGCGUGAGGGACGACGGCCUUCGGGUUGUAAACCUCUUUCAGCACAGACGAAGCGCAAGUGACGGUAUGUGCAGAAGAAGGACCGGCCAACUACGUGCCAGCAGCCGCGGCAAUACGUAGGGUCCGAGCGUUGUCCGGAAUUAUUGGGCGUAAAGAGCUCGUAGGCGGUUCGGCAAGUCGGGUGUGAAAAUCCAGGGCUCAACCCUGGGACGCCACUCGAUACUGCUGUGACUAGAGUCCGGUAGAGGAGCGUGGAAUUCCCGGUGUAGCGGUGAGAUGCGCAGAUAUCAGGAGGAACACCAGCGGCGAAGGCGGCGCUCUGGGCCGGUACUGACGCUGAGGAGCGAAAGCAUGGGGAGCAAACAGGAUUAGAUACCCUGGUAGUCCAUGCCGUAAACGUUGGGCACUAGGUAUGGGGUCUUAUCAACGGAUUCCGUGCCGUAGCUAACGCAUUAAGUGCCCCGCCUGGGGAGUACGGCCGCAAGGCUAAAACUCAAAGGAAUUGACGGGGGCCCGCACAAGCGGCGGAGCAUGUUGCUUAAUUCGAGGCAACGCGAAGAACCUUACCUGGGUUUGACAUGUAGGGAAAAGCCAUAGAGAUAUGGUGUCCUUUUGGGCCCUACACAGGUGGUGCAUGGCUGUCGUCAGCUCGUGUCGUGAGAUGUUGGGUUAAGUCCCGCAACGAGCGCAACCCUUAUCCUAUGUUGCCAGCACGUAACGGUGGGGACUCGUAGGAGACUGCCGGCGUCAAGUCGGAGGAAGGUGGGGACGACGUCAAGUCAUCAUGCCCCUUAUGUCCAGGGCUGCAAACAUGCUACAAUGGCCGGUACAAAGGGCUGCAAGACCGCGAGGUUGAGCGAAUCCCAAAAAGCCGGUCUCAGUUCGGAUUGGAGUCUGCAACUCGACUCCAUGAAGUCGGAGUCGCUAGUAAUCCCGGAUCAGCAACGCCGGGGUGAAUACGUUCCCGGGCCUUGUACACACCGCCCGUCACACCACGAAAGUUGACAUUGGCAGAAGACGUUGCGCCAACCCUUUUGGGGGGCAGGCGUCCAAGCUGGUGUUGAUGACUGGGGUG
rnacentral:rRNA from 1 species